AGUCAAUAGAUACCCGGGUAGUCCAUGCCGUAAACGAUGAUUGCUAGGUGUGGGGGGUCUGACCCCUUCCGUGCCGGAGUUAAACACAAAUAAGCAAUCCACCUGGGGAGUACGGCCGCAAGGUUGAAACUCAAAGGAAUUGACGGGGGCCCGCACAAGCAGUGGAGUAUGUGGUUUAAUUCGAAGCAACGCGAAGAACCUUACCAGGUCUUGACAUCCACCGAAUCCUGUAGAGAUACGGGAGUGCCCUUCGGGGAACGGUGAGACAGGUGGUGCAUGGUUGUCGUCAGCUCGUGUCGUGAGAUGUUGGGUUAAGUCCCGCAACGAGCGCAACCCUUGUGAAUAGUUGCUACGAAAGAGCACUCUAUUCAGACCGCCGUUGACAAAACGGAGGAAGGUGGGGAUGACGUCAAAUCAUCAUGCCCCUUAUGACCUGGGCUACACACGUACUACAAUGGCCGUUAACAGAGGGAUGCAAUACCGCGAGGUGGAGCGAACCCCUAAAACGGUCUCAGUUCAGAUUGCAGGCUGAAACUCGCCUGC
rnacentral:rRNA from 1 species